GUGAAGCGGCAACAGCUCAAAUUUGAAAGCUAGCCUUCGGGUUCGCAUUGUAAUUUGUAGAGGAUGAUUUGGGGAAGCCGCCUGUCUAAGUUCCUUGGAACAGGACGUCAUAGAGGGUGAGAAUCCCGUAUGUGACAGGAAAUGGCACCCUAUGUAAAUCUCCUUCGACGAGUCGAGUUGUUUGGGAAUGCAGCUCUAAAUGGGAGGUAAAUUUCUUCUAAAGCUAAAUAUUGGCGAGAGACCGAUAGCGCACAAGUAGAGUGAUCGAAAGAUGAAAAGCACUUUGGAAAGAGAGUUAAAAAGCACGUGAAAUUGUUGAAAGGGAAGCGCUUGCAAUCAGACUUGUUUAAACUGUUCGGCCGGUCUUCUGACCGGUUUACUCAGUUUGGACAGGCCAGCAUCAGUUUCGGCGGCCGGAUAAAGGCUCUGGGAAUGUGGCCUCCACUUCGGUGGAGGUGUUAUAGCCCAGGGUGUAAUACGGCCAGCCGGGACUGAGGUCC
rnacentral:rRNA from 1 species